AUGAAAAGUUCAAAAUUUGCUCGAAAAAUGGAGAAAAUCAAAGCCAAAUGAACUCAAGCGUCACUUAAAUAUGAUUUCAAAGACCGAAACUACUCGCGAGUUUUUUUCGGCUUUAUAUUUUUGUUGCUUGUUGGAUGAGGACCUGAAAGGUCAAUGCCGAUAGAAGAAUAGGGCAGCCCUUCGCUGGUUUCUUCCAUAUUUCAAAGAGAAGGAAAACUGCACUGCAGCUUAACAGGACGGAAACUCUGAAUCCAGCGCGACGAACAUUUGUUUUUCUCGGUUCCAGGUGUACGCGACCACUCACCCUAAGUAAUGCGCAUGCUCUCCGUUGCGAAUUUUCAAAAUGGCGGACAGGUCAAAGAGGGAAAUAAAGAAGCAAAGCGAUUUUACAAUAAAUACUUAACACACACCCCCGUUAGAAAGGCGAAUCCACGAUAGAAAGAUACAAAACUGAGGGAGGUUGACAAAAUCAACAAGAGAGGUUGAAAAUUCAUUACGUUGGCUAUAGCACAUGCUUCGAUGAAUGGACACCCUUCAGGGCCGAUAGAGGAUCUGGAUAUUUUCCGUUUGUUCGCAGCGAAAAGCUGUUCAUUCCCUCGGAAAACUCUCUGGAGGAUAGAAAAGAAUCGUUCCAUGGCCAACUUGUUCGUGAAAUAAAGAAAAAGCUUUGGUCUGGACGGCGAGAGGACCCUGAUAUAAACAUAGACCUUAAUGUUGACCAAGAUAUUUUCAUGGAAGGUCUUGGGAGUGUUUUGACCGGCGUUCUUCAAUGAGGGAAGAUGGUUUACCAGUUGGAGUCAAAUAGGGUGCCUGAUUCAUAUCUGUGGCUGAAGUGGGAUGAAAGAAUUUUAAAUGUAGCUGGAGAUUUUGCCUAUGUAAUUCCAGGAACUAUUAAGUAUUGGCUGGGACAAAGAAGUCCAAUCAUUGAAUACAAGUUCAUCGUUGUAGGUGUUCUUAACCCUUUCAUAACCUGCUGCCUCCAGGAACUGAAUCCUGUUUUUCUUCAGAAACAGUUGUUUGAGGGCAUCAACCCCUUUGUGAUAUGUGGAUCUAAAGAAAUCUUUAGAAGCUCUACUAUUGAAUUUUUCCAAGCCUUGCUGUGUGUAAUAUGCUAUGUUCUGAUAAAGUUACAGGAACUCAGGAACAUGAUAACAUAGUGCAUGCAUGUAGGGAGUGACAUCUUUUGCUUGGUAAACUUUGAGAAAGUGCUCAAACCAUGAUUUGAUAUUUCUUUGCAGUUCAAGAAUACCCUCUUCAGAUGUAAAAUCUAGCUUCAAAUCACCAAUUAUGUCCAUAAAUUUAGCCCAGAUCA